rnacentral:misc_RNA from 1 species
UAAUUAAAGUGUUUUUAUGGCACUUUUAAAAAAAUCCAUAUCCACCUUGUGUGCAAUGUUUGGGCCAUAGGAUUUGUUUUCUAUGGUCUUUUUUACAUCAACUUUUGUUUAAACAUCUUUUGUCUGAAAAAUCUUGAAUACUUAAUUCAAAAAA